rnacentral:misc_RNA from 1 species
UCCCAGUUAACCUGGGCAGUCUCAUUAGAGUUCCCACCUCGCGUGUUGGCAACUAAUGAUAAGGGUUGCGCUCGUUGCGGGACUUAACCCAACACCUCACGGCACGAGCUGACGACAGCCAUGCAGCACCUACAGAGCAGCCCUUGCGGGAAUAACCAUCUCUGGUUACGUCUCCUCUAUUUCAAACCUGGGUAAGGUUCUUCGCGUUGCAUCGAAUUAAACCACAUGCUCCACUGCUUGUGCGGGCCCCCGUCAAUUCUUUUGAGUUUCACCCUUGCGAGCGUACUCCUCAGGCGGUAUACUUAACGCGUUAGCUACGGCACAGUCAGGGUUGAGCCCAACUACACCAAGUAUACAUCGUUUACGGCAAGGACUAC